rnacentral:rRNA from 1 species
GGGUUGUGAGGUUAAGCGACUAAGCGUACACGGUGGAUGCCUAGGCAGUCAGAGGCGAUGAAGGGCGUGCUAAUCUGCGAAAAGCGUCGGUAAGCUGAUAUGAAGCGUUAUAACCGACGAUACCCGAAUGGGGAAACCCAGUGCAAUACGUUGCACUAUCGUUAGAUGAAUACAUAGUCUAACGAGGCGAACCGGGGGAACUGAAACAUCUAAGUACCCCGAGGAAAAGAAAUCAACCGAGAUUCCCCCAGUAGCGGCGAGCGAACGGGGAGGAGCCCAGAGUCUGAAUCAGUUUGUGUGUUAGUGGAAGCGUCUGGAAAGUCGCACGGUACAGGGUGAUAGUCCCGUACACCAAAAUGCACAGGCUGUGAACUCGAUGAGUAGGGCGGGACACGUGACAUCCUGUCUGAAUAUGGGGGGACCAUCCUCCAAGGCUAAAUACUCCUGACUGACCGAUAGUGAACCAGUACCGUGAGGGAAAGGCGAAAAGAACCCCGGCGAGGGGAGUGAAAUAGAACCUGAAACCGUGUACGUACAAGCAGUGGGAGCACCUUCGUGGUGUGACUGCGUACCUUUUGUAUAAUGGGUCAGCGACUUAUAUUUUGUAGCAAGGUUAACCGAAUAGGGGAGCCGUAGGGAAACCGAGUCUUAACUGGGCGUCUAGUUGCAAGGUAUAGACCCGAAACCCGGUGAUCUAGCCAUGGGCAGGUUGAAGGUUGGGUAACACUAACUGGAGGACCGAACCGACUAAUGUUGAAAAAUUAGCGGAUGACUUGUGGCUGGGGGUGAAAGGCCAAUCAAACCGGGAGAUAGCUGGUUCUCCCCGAAAGCUAUUUAGGUAGCGCCUCGUGAACUCAUCUUCGGGGGUAGAGCACUGUUUCGGCUAGGGGGCCAUCCCGGCUUACCAAACCGAUGCAAACUCCGAAUACCGAAGAAUGUUAUCACGGGAGACACACGGCGGGUGCUAACGUCCGUCGUGAAGAGGGAAACAACCCAGACCGCCAGCUAAGGUCCCAAAGUCAUGGUUAAGUGGGAAACGAUGUGGGAAGGCACAGACAGCCAGGAUGUUGGCUUAGAAGCAGCCAUCAUUUAAAGAAAGCGUAAUAGCUCACUGGUCGAGUCGGCCUGCGCGGAAGAUGUAACGGGGCUAAACCAUGCACCGAAGCUGCGGCAGCGACGUUUAGGCGUUGUUGGGUAGGGGAGCGUUCUGUAAGCCGUUGAAGGUGACCUGUGAGGGUUGCUGGAGGUAUCAGAAGUGCGAAUGCUGACAUAAGUAACGAUAAUGCGGGUGAAAAACCCGCACGCCGGAAGACCAAGGGUUCCUGUCCAACGUUAAUCGGGGCAGGGUGAGUCGACCCCUAAGGCGAGGCUGAAAAGCGUAGUCGAUGGGAAACAGGUUAAUAUUCCUGUACUUGGUGUUACUGCGAAGGGGGGACGGAGAAGGCUAGGCUGGCCGGGCGACGGUUGUCCCGGUUUAAGCGUGUAGGGGGAGUGACCAGGUAAAUCCGGUUGCUUAUCAACCUGAGGCGUGAUGACGAUGCACCACGGUGCAGAAGCAGUUGAUGCCAUGCUUCCAGGAAAAGCCUCUAAGCAUCAGGUAACAUUAAAUCGUACCCCAAACCGACACAGGUGGUCAGGUAGAGAAUACUCAGGCGCUUGAGAGAACUCGGGUGAAGGAACUAGGCAAAAUGGUGCCGUAACUUCGGGAGAAGGCACGCUGGCGUUAGGUGAAAGGACUAGCUCCUGGAGCUGAAGCCAGUCGCAGAUACCAGCUGGCUGCAACUGUUUAAUAAAAACACAGCACUGUGCAAACACGAAAGUGGACGUAUACGGUGUGACGCCUGCCCGGUGCUGGAAGGUUAAUUGAUGGGGUCAGCCGCAAGGCGAAGCUCUUGAUCGAAGCCCCAGUAAACGGCGGCCGUAACUAUAACGGUCCUAAGGUAGCGAAAUUCCUUGUCGGGUAAGUUCCGACCUGCACGAAUGGCGUAAUGAUGGCCAGGCUGUCUCCACCCGAGACUCAGUGAAAUUGAACUCGCUGUGAAGAUGCAGUGUACCCGCGGCAAGACGGAAAGACCCCGUGAACCUUUACUAUAGCUUGACACUGAACAUUGAGCCUUGAUGUGUAGGAUAGGUGGGAGGCCUUGAAGUGUGGACGCCAGUCUGCAUGGAGCCAACCUUGAAAUACCACCCUUUAAUGUUUGAUGUUCUAACUCGGCCCCAUGAUCUGGGGUGAGGACAGUGUCUGGUGGGUAGUUUGACUGGGGCGGUCUCCUCCCAAAGAGUAACGGAGGAGCACGAAGGUUAGCUAAUCACGGUCGGACAUCGUGAGGUUAGUGCAAAGGCAUAAGCUAGCUUGACUGCGAGAGUGACGGCUCGAGCAGGUACGAAAGUAGGUCUUAGUGAUCCGGUGGUUCUGAAUGGAAGGGCCAUCGCUCAACGGAUAAAAGGUACUCCGGGGAUAACAGGCUGAUACCGCCCAAGAGUUCAUAUCGACGGCGGUGUUUGGCACCUCGAUGUCGGCUCAUCACAUCCUGGGGCUGAAGUAGGUCCCAAGGGUAUGGCUGUUCGCCAUUUAAAGUGGUACGCGAGCUGGGUUUAGAACGUCGUGAGACAGUUCGGUCCCUAUCUGCCGUGGGCGUUGGAAGAUUGAGAGGGGCUGCUCCUAGUACGAGAGGACCGGAGUGGACGAAUCACUGGUGUUCGGGUUGUCAUGCCAAUGGCAUUGCCCGGUAGCUAAAUUCGGAAGAGAUAACCGCUGAAAGCAUCUAAGCGGGAAACUUGCCUCGAGAUGAGUCUUCCCUGGGGCUUAAAGCCCCCUGAAGGAACGUUAAAGACUAUGACGUUGAUAGGCUGGGUGUGUAAGUGCAGCGAUGUAUUGAGCUAACCAGUACUAAUGAUCCGUGAGGCUUAACCUUACAACACCGAAGGUGUUU